ACAGUAUCAUUUUUGUUGGGGACGCUGCAGGUCUCAAAGUGAAGAAGAUGGUGAUAAGGAUGACGGUGCGCUCUGAUGUCGACCUCACUGACUCCACAGUCACUGAUGCUCUCCUGAAAAAAUUGGACGCUGCUCUGAGACAACAGUCGGUGACUGAUUUCAAACUCAGCUGGCAAAGGGACAACAGUGGACUCGUCUUCCAACGCCGCGAGCAGUCAGUCGGCGGUUGAGAAAAUCAGAUGCUAAUUGUAGCGUUAGCAUGGGUGCCCCUACCGAUUCAACACAAGAGUUGACUUGUUGAAGAAUUGAGCGAUCAUCUUAAUACUGUAUCGGUGAAGUGUGUAGGAAUAGAUGAAUGUAUCCUCUUGAAACUAAAAAAAUGAAGUAAAUGAAAUAUUUAAAUGACCUCUUUGCUUGUGUUGAAGUGGUAUUUUAGAAGAAGAGAUUAAAUCUGUUUU